CGCUGGAUGAAAAAAAAAAAAAAAAAAAAAAAAAAAAAAAA
rnacentral:ribozyme from 13 species